UACCAAGGCGAUGAUAGGUAGGCGGCCUUAACGGGUGGUCGCCCACACUGGGAUUGAGAUACGGCCCAGACUACUACGGGAGGCAGCAGUCGAGAAUAGUCUACAAUGGUCGAAAGACUGAUAGUGCGACGCCGCGUGAACGAAGACUCCUUUCGGGGUGUAAAGUUCUUUUAUAUGUGAGCAGUGGAUGUUACAUUAAUAGUGUGAUGUCAGGGAUAUUAGCAUAUGAAUAAGCAACGGCUAACUCCGUGCCAGCAGCCGCGGUAACACGGGGGUUGCGAGCGUUGUCCGGAAUUACUAGGCGUAAAGGGCAGGUAGGCGGAGAUGUAAGUUUGAUGUUAAAGGUACUGGAUCACCCAGUGUACGGCAUCAGAUACUGCAUUUCUUGAAUACGGUUGGGGAAGACAGAAUUCCUGGUGUAGCGGUGGAAUGCGCAGAGAUCAGGAGGAAUACCGAAGGCGAAGGCAGUCUUCUAAGCCGGUUAUUGACGCUAAACUGCGAAGGUGUGGGUAUCAAACAGGAUUAGUACCCUGGUAGUC
rnacentral:rRNA from 1 species